GUUGAAGGCAACCGUUGAGUGAAGCCCCGGGGACAGCAGAAUCCACAGGGGAGCACAGAGUGGGAGAGGCUUCUUCAGGGCCUGCAGGGGAAGGCGAUGGGAGAGAGGAAGGGGGUCAGCAGAGAUCCAGCUGGCACCUUCAGGGAAGAAUGUGAUACCGUCCAGGAGGAGAAGUUGGCGGGUGCCAUUAUCAGACGGCCUAAAGGCAACCUUUGUGCAUCAUUUGAGGGCCAGCCCCAAGGAUGAAAACUCACAGCCUCUACCACAGCCACUGACUCACUGGAUCGUUCUUAGCCCAAAAGGCGUGAGUUUUGGCUGCCUCUGGGGCCAAACUAUAGCAUUCUGGACGCCAUUCUCUGAUCCUCAGUAAUUUGAGAAGCAUUCCUGCAGUGAAGGAUCAAAGUCUUGCCCUCUUUCCUCGUUCUCGAAUGCAACCGGCAGCCAGCAGAAGUGCCUGCUUUGACUGAGGAAUCUGGCAGGGCCGGCCCCCUCUCCAGACCCUUGUGCUUUCUCUAAUGGUCUCCCAGUGGGCCCUGCUGCAACAGGGCUCUCUUCUUCCAGCCUGUGCAUGUCAGAAAUUCACAGGCAUUCUAGGGAUCAAGACAAGCCCUGGACGUGUCAUUUAUCUUUUCACAGCUAACUGCUGAAUCCCUUUUGAUUACAUUCCAAAAGGACAGCUCCUCCUACCCAGGUACUCUUGGCAGGGUCUGCUUCAAGAAGUGAUGGGAGCACAAAGCUCACAGGGGUCCCCCAGGUCCAGAGAGGCUGGGUUCCAGGGCUGAUAUCCUCAAGGGGCAGAGGAGGUGUUCGAUCCCUCGUCCAGGAAACAAAUAAAAAUGGUCACCCCUUUCUUUGGGACCUUUUAUUCCCCCCAUUUUGCACUUCACUCUCACUCUGCGUAAUUCCAGGAUUAGUCAGGAUCAGCUGACACCUCCAGGAGAGUUAUUCAGAUAUUUUUUUUAACCAGGACCACAGUAAGAAAUACACCUUACGUGGGCACCCAUUACACCCAUUGCUGUACUUACAGAGAAAACAUAAGUUUCACAAAACCAUAUUUGCCUUACUAUGUGCAGCGUACUCUGAGGUUUCCCAUUAUUAUUCUAACACUGUUCAAGACCCGCUAAAUUACUUCCCAGCUCACUAUUGGGUGGCAGCUGGCAGUUUAGGAAGAGCUGCCCUAAGAGAUGGAUGGUAUCCCUCAUACUCCCAGGCACCCUUGCAGCCUCCUCUUAGGUGUUAGAGAGAAACCAUCAGACUUAGAACAGAUUGGUGAUGCGUAUGUCAUAGAAAACACCUAGGGCCCUGGCAGAGCUGUCAAGAAAGGAGGGUCAGACGAUGGAAAUUUUGCUGUGGAAUUUGGACCACAGAAAGGGCACAACAUGGACCGUCAUGGCAGAGUCCAUUCUAUAGAUGUCAUUCCAGAAUCUCGUCUUUCCAACACUCACCCCUGCAUACAUCCUGUCACUUUGUAGGUUGAGGAGGCCAAAUCUCAUGGCCCGUGGGUGGGGAUGAAGGGCCAGUGCCUGUGGGAAAGACGGUGGGAGAAGAGGGAAUUUCCCUGCUUUAACGUAUGUCCUCUUUCUAGGUCACAAGUCAAUGUGCACAGCAGACCCACAGGCAUCUGAUUUUCUAAGUCUUUCCCAUUUCCGGAUGCCAUAUACCCUUCUUCCUCCCUGCUAAAGAAACACUAUUUAACUUGUGGGACGAUCACUCAUGGAAUCCUGGUCUCCAGGACCCUGAGUUUCGAAUAGAGCCGAGCUUGGCACUCAUUUCCUAAAUAACUAGUGGUUAGGGGCCGUUAUUUAUGGGAGUCCUUUAAAUUCCUGAUGAAGAAAGUGAGACUGAGCUCAUCUGACACCCUUUCACUUGGGACACGAGAAAUAACUGAUUCCUUCUCCCUGUCCCACCCUCUACUCUAUCAUGGCGAGAAGCAUCAUCUGAAAGGUCCCUGGAAGAAUGGAGCAGGAGAGGUGGGCAGAGUGGCCCAAAGCCCGCCCACAGCCCUGCUUUCCUGGCUGCGGUCCAUGGGCACCAUCCUUUCUUUGCCUUGCCUCCCCAUCUCUUUGAGAAUCUGGUGUCCUGUCCAUUGAGCUGAGUGUUUUCAGUAACAUCACAACCAAAGCCUCCCAACGACAUCGCCCAGAUGGCCAGCACCCUCGCCUUGCCCAGACAGGGUGCUACACACCAGGAGCUGACCCUGCCGGAGUUGGUUCACUGUUGAUAAGGGAGACUGAGAGACUUUCCUUUUGUUGUCCUCUCCUCUUGCUGAGAGACUGGCCCAGUAGAGGGAUUUUGUCAAUCCCUGCCAUCCAAGGUUUCUGGCUCAAGUCACUGCAGAGCCUCCCAAGUUCUUACACAACCAUCAUCAUCCACGAGCAUUGACAGAAUGCUCCCCACACCAUGCUCAAGCCCAAGGAAGUGACAAAGGCAAGACAAAUUCCAAACACGCAAGAAGCUUAGAGUGUCACUUGGAAGACACCAUUAACCUUGAAAAAAAUAUAUGCAACAAUCCAAGCAACGUAUAAGUGCCCACCAGUGAACAAGACAGGAAUGGAGAGAGUGAGGGCAGGGCGGGAUGACUGGAGUGGUCUGCACAGGGAGGUGGAAUGUGAGCUCAAGGGCAGUGAUAGGCAUACGCAAUUCCAAGAACAAUUAAAGAUACCACUAGCCCAAAACUGGAAGAUCUGUGUAAGAAAGUGAAUGGGAUGGCGGAGGGGUGUGGGAGGGGAAGAAACAUGAGGAAGUGAGGUCAGCCAAGCUGAAAGACUAUUCAUGAGGUAAGAAUUAGGAUACAGGGAAGCCUGCUAAAGCCAACCGUGGGUCCAUGUUGCCUUUUCUCCUUAAUCACAAAAAAAUAGUUAUCCUUCUAGAAACACAACCACAUUCAGCUGGAAGCAGCAGUUGCAAUUCAAGUCACCCUGGUUUCCAGGGAUCCUGUGAUGUCAUCAGUGAUGUGGCACAAUUCUAUGAGCCCUAGGAUAACUAAAGCAU
rnacentral:lncRNA from 1 species